GAUCUCGGUCAUGAGAAGGGGGCGGAGCUACACGAAACAGAGGGGGCGGAGCUACAUGGGACCAAGCUGCUAUAUCUUCGGCCAGCCUGUGGUAGAUAAGUUGGGGGAGAACUAUGAGAAGAUUAAAGUAUGGCGUGGGACCACAUCACCAAUUUAGGACACGGGUUGGAAAAAAGACUACUGGGCUGAAGUUGUGCCUUCAGCCCAGUCUAGCAGAUCUCUUCCAGAAGACAAUCCGCAGGACUAAAUUUCAACAUCUGUAUAUUUACAAUUACAAAACAAAACCCCAAAGAACAGGAUCGAGGUCAACACCGGAACAUUUUGCUGGUUGCCACCAAAUGGAAUCAACUUUCCUUUGUCCGCUGGAUAAUAUUUAUAUUUGAAGGAGAUUAUAAAAGACGUAUGAUUAGAGCCCAGCCAACAUUAUCCAAAGGUCAUGUGCCUGAGCCAGAGGGGAAAAAAGUCAAACCAUACGUUCGCUGCUUGAUGUUCCUAGAGCAGAGAUUCCGACUGUUACUGGGCCUCACUAAAUUUAUUACUGAGAAUGAUAAAAUUCUGCUGAAUGGCUGGAAUUGCUCAUUACUUGGUGCGUGGUCUGUUUUUCACAAACACUGACUUAAAGGUCACAGAUCUGGCUCUCAUAUCUACAAGUGAAUCACAGAGAUGGAAAGUUUCUCCAUGGAAAGGGUGCCAGUAGCCUAAUGGAAAGAAUGGAACUUGCUCUUAGUGCAUAUCAGUCAUGCUACAUGGUUGGGUAGAUGAAGGCUUCUCUUUGUGGUUAUCUGACGGUGGUCUUAUGAUCAUCAAUCAAAACCAGUAUUAACCUGCAUCCAAUAUACAUAUUUAUAUGUUUAUAUUCAUUA